AGCGCACGUGCGCCGGCCUGGGCAGCGUCAGCGGCACGGGCAGCAGCUCCGGCAUCACCGAGUGAUGGGUGAUCAAGGCCUUCAGCGAACUAAACUCCUUGGUGAAGCCCUGCAAACCCCGCUGUGUCCUGAGGAUCAGAUAGUGGGCCACACGCGGUGAUGGCGGCGGCACACGCAGCGACAAGGCAAAGCAGCCUGGCUUGGUGCUGCUCUGACGCACCAGGAAGGCGCCGGGACUCUGGCGGGAGAGCACCUCCAGUGAGAUCUCGCGCGGAAUGCCCGCCUGGAACCAGGCGGCCCCCUUAAGCUCCUGUUGCUCGGCCAAGCUAAGGUUAUCCAGACGCAGCGAUCCAUUGCCGGCGAACAGUUUUGGACUGGAAUUAGCUGCAGAUGUGUACGUGUGGGUGUGUGUGAGGAGAAGGGGUUCUAAAUCCAUCUGGAACUUAGCAUGAAACGUAUUGAAAUCUUCAUCUACACGAGAACUCCCUCUAAGCUAGAGGAUAAUCAUCAAUAAAUCUUGGCAUACUUUUGGGCUGACGAUUUUAAAAAAGUGCAACGGGGCUCUGUUAAGUUAAACCAAGGUGAAUCUUUUGGGGGCACUAGAGAGCAAUGUUAAAUGUUUGAAUCAGAGAUGUUGAUGCCGAUCGAUAGUCUGGAUUCUCACGAUACUGGGAAAGUAGAUCUUUUGCCUAUCUGUCCCUUUUGUAUUCACUUCGGAAUACUUAUCCAUUAGGGUAUUCAAGUGUGUAAGCAAAUUAUUUCCAUAUAAUAUAUACAUUUACUCUUUUUUUUCAUGUGGAAAAUUUGUAUUUUAUUGUAAACAAGUUUACUGCUACCUUUCCUGGCAACUUAAUCUAGUUUUACAUUUAAGAAGAAAAACAAUUGAUCACAGGAGAUACAUACAUAAAAUUAAUGUAACAUAUAUGGAAAAGGUACAUACAUUAUUUACAAUAUUUACAAAAAGUUAAUGAAAUGUUAUAGGAGGGAUCUAGUUGGGAUAUCCAGUGGAUGACACCUUUUGAGUCUUCUUUUCCUUGGUGGG